rnacentral:rRNA from 1 species
AACGAACGCUGGCGGCAGGCCUAACACAUGCAAGUCGAGCGAACCCUUCGGGGUUAGCGGCGGACGGGUUAGUAACGCGUGGGAAUAUACCCUUUGGUACGGAAUAGCCUCGGGGAAACUGAGAGUAAUACCGUAUGUGCCCUUCGGGGGAAAGAUUUAUCGCCAAAGGAUUAGCCCGCGUUGGAUUAGAUAGUUGGUGGGGUAAUGGCCUACCAAGUCUACGAUCCAUAGCUGGUUUGAGAGGAUGAUCAGCAACACUGGGACUGAGACACGGCCCAGACUCCUACGGGAGGCAGCAGUGGGGAAUCUUAGACAAUGGGCGCAAGCCUGAUCUAGCCAUGCCGCGUGGACGAUGAAGGCCUUAGGGUUGUAAAGUCCUUUCAGAUGGGAAGAUAAUGACGGUACCAUCAGAAGAAGCCCCGGCUAACUCCGUG